rnacentral:rRNA from 1 species
CCUACGGGAGGCAGCAGUGAGGAAUAUUGGUCAAUGGGCGUAAGCCUGAACCAGCCAAGUCGCGUGAGGGAUGAAGGUUCUAUGGAUCGUAAACCUCUUUUAUAAGGGAAUAAAGUGCGGGACGUGUCCCGUUUUGUAUGUACCUUAUGAAUAAGGAUCGGCUAACUCCGUGCCAGCAGCCGCGGUAAUACGGAGGAUCCGAGCGUUAUCCGGAUUUAUUGGGUUUAAAGGGUGCGUAGGCGGCCUUUUAAGUCAGCGGUGAAAGUCAGUGGCUCAACCAUCGAAUUGCCGUUGAAACUGGCAGGCUUGAGUUUGUUUGAGGCAGGCGGAAUGCGUGGUGUAGCGGUGAAAUGCUUAGAUAUCACGCAGAACCCCGAUUGCGAAGGCAGCCUGCCAGGCCAUGACUGACGCUGAUGCACGAAAGCGUGGGUAUCGAACAGGAUUAGAUACCCGUGUAGUC